rnacentral:rRNA from 1 species
AGUUUGAUCCUGGCUCAGGAUGAACGCUAGCUACAGGCUUAACACAUGCAAGUCGAGGGGCAGCAUUGGGGUAGCAAUACUUCAGAUGGCGACCGGCGCACGGGUGAGUAACACGUAUCCAACCUGCCGCUUACUCGGGGAUAGCCUUUCGAAAGAAAGAUUAAUACCCGAUGGUAUAAAGAGUUCGCAUGUUCUCUUUAUUAAAGAAUUUCGGUAAGCGAUGGGGAUGCGUUCCAUUAGAUUGUUGGCGGGGUAACGGCCCACCAAGUCUACGAUGGAUAGGGGUUCUGAGAGGAAGGUCCCCCACAUUGGAACUGAGACACGGUCCAAACUCCUACGGGAGGCAGCAGUGAGGAAUAUUGGUCAAUGGACGAGAGUCUGAACCAGCCAAGUAGCGUGAAGGAUGACUGCCCUAUGGGUUGUAAACUUCUUUUAUAAGGGAAUAAAGUGAGGGACGUGUCCCUUUUUGUAUGUACCUUAUGAAUAAGGAUCGGCUAACUCCGUGCCAGCAGCCGCGGUAAUACGGAGGAUCCAAGCGUUAUCCGGAUUUAUUGGGUUUAAAGGGAGCGUAGGUUGACAUAUAAGUCAGCUGUGAAAGUUUACGGCUCAACCGUGAAAUUGCAGUUGAUACUGUAUGUCUUGAGUGUACAAGAGGUGGGCGGAAUUCGUGGUGUAGCGGUGAAAUGCUUAGAUAUCACGAAGAACUCCAAUUGCGAAGGCAGCUCACUGGGGUACAACUGACACUGAGGCUCGAAAGUGUGGGUAUCAAACAGGAUUAGAUACCCUGGUAGUCCACACAGUAAACGAUGAAUACUCGCUGUUUGCGAUAUACAGUAAGCGGCCAAGCGAAAGCAUUAAGUAUUCCACCUGGGGAGUACGCCGGCAACGGUGAAACUCAAAGGAAUUGACGGGGGCCCGCACAAGCGGAGGAACAUGUGGUUUAAUUCGAUGAUACGCGAGGAACCUUACCCGGGCUUGAAUUGCAGAGGAACAUAGUUGAAAGAUUAUGGCCGCAAGGUCUCUGUGAAGGUGCUGCAUGGUUGUCGUCAGCUCGUGCCGUGAGGUGUCGGCUUAAGUGCCAUAACGAGCGCAACCCUUAUCAUUAGUUACUAACAGGUCAUGCUGAGGACUCUAGUGAGACUGCCGUCGUAAGAUGUGAGGAAGGUGG